rfam:Melampsora larici-populina 98AG31 unplaced genomic scaffold MELLAscaffold_44, whole genome shotgun sequence.
UAUUUUUGUGUGCCGGUCUCAAAUUCGAACGUCCCCCUCGCCUUUUACUAGGGAGACCCGGGGAUCGGGCAGAAACUGCACUUGUCCUAUCUUUCACUUUUCAGUGAGCUGGUGC